UGACUGCCGCGGAUACUCCCACCUCGGGC
rnacentral:piRNA from 1 species